rnacentral:rRNA from 1 species
UACGGAGGAUGCAAGCGUUAUCCGGAAUGAUUGGGCGUAAAGCGUCCGCAGGUGGCUAUGUAAGUCUGCUGUUAAAGAGUCUAGCUCAACUAGAUAAGAGCAGUGGAAACUACAAGGCUAGAGUACGUUCGGGGCAGAGGGAAUUCCUGGUGUAGCGGUGAAAUGCGUAGAGAUCAGGAAGAACACCAGUGGCGAAGGCGCUCUGCUAGGCCGUAACUGACACUGAGGGACGAAAGCUAGGGGAGCGAAAGGG